UGUCUCGUCAAGCCCUAGCAACUCCUUGUGUGGGCCGGGCGCCUGCAGACUGACCUCUGUCGUCAGUUGGACGGUGUUUCCUCUGAAACAUUGGUGCGGCUGGCUUCCGGUUUGAGCGGGCGGGUGUUAAGAAGCACGGUUUGGCGAGGACGAAACCGUCGCCUCCCGAGCCCUUUUGGGGAGUUGCAGCGAUGAGAACGAAAAAGGCCUUAAAAUGAAAAAAUAAAUCAAACGGUGUGUCUGAUAUAUGAAACAACUUCCUCAUAGCUAUUCAAAUAGAGGCUGCCUGACUUUUUGGCUCAAAUCACUUGUGCCACAAAUGAUUUCUUUGAAAACCUGAGCAUUGUUCAAAAGGCAACUCCCACAAAGAAAAGAGGCGACACAAAGAUUGUCAGAUGGACUCGCUGAACUGAAUCUCGUCACACCAGAACACAGUCGGUGUUCUGUCAUCUGAAUCAACAUAAUGCUGUUCCUAUUAUUUUGUGGUGGAUGUUUUGUGUUGUCUGCAGGGCAAACCUUUGCUCCAACACCUUCAAUGGGACAAGUGAACAGCACAACACAGGUAACAACACCUCCAGCUCCCACUACUCCAUAUGUGGACCCACCAUUUGGUACUGGCACAGCUACUAGUGGAUUUGCAAUUCUUCGAACAGCUGUCACUUCUUAUCAGGAGCUAAAUAAGACUACAGUUGAUCCAGUCUUGAGUCAGCUUAUGCCUGCCCUCACCAUAACCCCACUGACUCCCUGGGGCACUCUGUUCACUAUGUUGAUAUCAGCAAACCGCUCGCCCACAGGACGCCAUACACGUGAUCUGCGGUUGUGAUGACAUUGGAGGCAGCUUAUGCUCUAUGACGUCAUUGGUGCGCAGCAACCUAAUCUGGAAUUUCAUCUGACUGUGAAAACUGUCCAGAAGGUUUGAUGGAUUAGGAUUCAAUGCAUAACAGGUUAACAUGUUUUAUGGCACAUCAUGUGCUGCAACUUAUACAGUAUGCCAAUUUGAACUAUUAUACUACUUACUGAAUUUUCUACGAUAUUUUUAAUUCUGUUUCAGUAAAAACAAAUUAAAGAGAUGCUACAGAGGUUUGUAUUCGACUCUGAAUUCCAAGUCGAGAACUCGGGCCUCUUUCUAGAGCUCCGACUUUUUGACCUGAAGGUCACUGACGUCAUGAUUCAACCUCGUUUUUUUCAGCGUUCCCAGUUGUCUUGAAAGCACCAUAAAUCCAGAGAAUGCCAGACCUUGAUGACAAAGUUUGAUGACAAAGUUUGCCCACAAGGACUGCCAUGCCACCUGAUGUUGUGUAGUAGGCUGUUAGUAGCCCAUGUGUGUCACCCUAAAUCACACCCUUUCCCUCUCAGAAUUUAGCCUUGUGUUCUGACUUGGUGGACUGAUUAGCCUGUUUUAGAGAAAUGUCAUCAUUGAAUAUUAUAAGAGCUUUCAUUGUCUCCUUAUAUGCCCCUGUUAUUUAUCCUACAGUUCUGACUUGGUGUACAGGGAAAAUACUGUAAGAAUGGCUGAUGUUCUGAAUGCUGUCGCUGACCAUUUCAAAAGUGUUGAACAAAUAGGCAUGUCAACCACAUCCGUCUUGGCUUGCUCAUCAUUGAAUGUCUUAAUCGAAAUUACGGCUUGCCUCUUAUCCGCUCAUCGUUCCCUUAUGCCGUAGUUUGUACAUCACAAUUUUUAUAUAGGUCUAUCUCAUUAGUACCUAAUCAUUUUAAGCAAUGUUGGAAUUAUGCAUUUCAUUGUUUUGCUUACUUUGUGUAUUAUAUAAUUAGCUCGUGUGCUUUUCUACCGCUAGGAGGGGAUACUAUAUAAUGUUGUUGGGUCUGUAACCAUGUUUGCCAGUGAUAGUCUCUUCCUAUUCAAAUAUUUUUUUUCAACAAAAAGUUAAGUAAUGGACAAAUGUGAUUUCAGAUAAUAUUUGGAGGGUUGUUUUGUUUGCGCAAUGCGCUGUCUGUGCGUCUGUAUAUUGUCUAUAAAAGUGGAUCCUCGUGAUUGUGUUUUCCUUCCUUUUCAGACCACAAUAGGCCUAAUAAAAUACUUCAAGAAGCUAA